rnacentral:lncRNA from 1 species
AUGGUCCAGAUGUCGCUGACAAAGGAGGAGUACAGCUGGUUUUCCGACUUCCUCAAAUUCAAGCACUGUCUCUUAGGGGGAAAGAAGGCCCAGCACUUCUUUUUCAAUUCAACAAACACUCAGAUGAAGAACCUGCCUGCCUACCUGAGGGAGGUGUGGAAGGAGAUGGGUCUGCCCGAAUGUCCUUCAUUCACUGACAUGAGGACCUCCAUUGUCACUCAUGUAAAAAACAUGCUCCCAAAGGUUGACAGGGAAAGGGUGGCCAACUUCAUGUGCCACAACAUCCAGACGGCAGACAAAUAUUAUGCCAUGAAUUUAAAUCCAACCCAAGCAAAUGAAACCAGGGCACUCUUUGAGGCUGCACUGAAGGGGGAAGAUAACACAGUCGCCGCAGAGAACCAGCCCUCCACCUCAGGAGAAAGAAAGCAGAAGGUGAGAGAGGAUGCCUCCCUCUCCGACGGGAGCACCACCCCUGAAGAGACCAAGGUGAUGUACCAGGAGUCUGGCACGUCCGCCGGUGACUCGGAAGAGGAGGAAGAGGAUGAAGAUGAGGAACAGAUGGCCAGACAACUUCCAGUAAGAUCAGCUAUUCUGACAGGACACAUUUGAUUAUCAAAAUGUACUUGUAAACUAUGUAACAGUCAAGUGUGAAUUCUGAGAUAUAUCUAAUUUCUUGUGUUUGCUCUGUCAGGAGACACCUUCCAAGGUGACCAAUCCUCAGGUGGAGAUGGAACUUACCCCAAAGAGGAAGCGGAGCAUCUGCACACGCCGCAUGGAGGUCGCCAUCAGCCCCAUGC